rnacentral:rRNA from 1 species
GGGUAGUUUGACUGGGGCGGUCUCCUCCUAAAGAGUAACGGAGGAGCACGAAGGUUGGCUAAUCCUGGUCGGACAUCAGGAGGUUAGUGCAAUGGCAUAAGCCAGCUUGACUGCGAGCGUGACGGCGCGAGCAGGUGCGAAAGCAGGUCAUAGUGAUCCGGUGGUUCUGAAUGGAAGGGCCAUCGCUCAACGGAUAAAAGGUACUCCGGGGAUAACAGGCUGAUACCGCCCAAGAGUUCAUAUCGACGGCGGUGUUUGGCACCUCGAUGUCGGCUCAUCACAUCCUGGGGCUGAAGUAGGUCCCAAGGGUAUGGCUGUUCGCCAUUUAAAGUGGUACGCGAGCUGGGUUUAGAACGUCGUGAGACAGUUCGGUCCCUAUCUGCCGUGGGCGCUGGAGAACUGAGGGGGGCUGCUCCUAGUACGAGAGGACCGGAGUGGACGCAUCACUGGUGUUCGGGUUGUCAUGCCAAUGGCACUGCCCGGUAGCUAAAUGCGGAAGAGAUAAGUGCUGAAAGCAUCUAAGCACGAAACUUGCCCCGAGAUGAGUUCUCCCUGAGACUUAGAGUCUCCUGAAGGAACGUUGAAGACGACGACGUUGAUAGGCCGGGUGUGUAAGCGCAGCGAUGCGUUGAGCUAACCGGUACUAAUGAACCGUGAGGCUUAACCUU